UACGAAGGGGGCUAGCGUUGCUCGGAAUGACUGGGCGUAAAGGGCGCGUAGGCGGCUUGCACCGUCAGAUGUGAAAUUCCUGGGCUUAACCUGGGGGCUGCAUUUGAUACGUGUGGGCUUGAGUCCGGGAGAGGUGAGUGGAAUUCCCCAGUGUAGCGGUGAAAUGCGUAGAUAUUGGGAGGAACACCAGUGGCGAAGGCGGCUCACUGGACCGGAACUGACGCUGAGGCGCGAAAGCGUGGGGAGCAAACGGG
rnacentral:rRNA from 1 species